rnacentral:piRNA from 1 species
GAAGAUUUCAGUAGCCAACAGGAAUGUUGCCC